rnacentral:rRNA from 1 species
GUGGAUUAGAUACCCUGGUAGUCCACGCGGUAAACGAUGGAUGCUAGGUGUAGGGGGUAUCGACCCCCCCUGUGCCGGAGCUAACGCAAUAAGCAUCCCACCUGGGGAGUACGGCCGCAAGGUUGAAACUCAAAGGAAUUGACGGGGGCCCGCACAAGCAGUGGAGUAUGUGGUUUAAUUCGACGCAACGCGAAGAACCUUACCAGGGUUUGACAUCCCUUGACGAUCGCAGAGAUGCGAGUUCCCUUCGGGGACAAGGAGACAGGUGGUGCACGGCUGUCGUCAGCU